ACCAGACAAUCCAAGUAAAUCUCCCUGCUGUUUUUCUGUGUUUCAGGAUCUAGGGUGGGUCUUUUUGAAGUGAAAGAGCUGAUUGGAGAAGGAAGUUUUGGCAAGGUGUAUCUGGGAUCUCACGUAUUUAAUGAGAGAACAAAGGUUGCCCUGAAGUACAUCAAGAAGCGUGAACAGGACCGUUAUCUCGACGUUGAUGGCCAUUCCAAACCUGUGCUUGCAGAAGUGGCAAUCAUGCUUAAGUUGAUGAAGGACCCACCUUGUCCCAGCAUCAUCACAUUACACCACUGGAUUAAGAAUAAGAACGACUUUGUUCUCUUUCUGGAGUACGCCGAGUCA